UACGUAGGGCGCAAGCGUUUAUCCGGAAUUAUUGGGCGUAAAGAGCUCGUAGGCGGUUUGUCGCGUCUGCUGUGAAAGACCGGGGCUCAACUCCGGUUCUGCAGUGGGUACGGGCAGACUAGAGUGCAGUAGGGGGAGACUGGAAUUCCUGGUGUAGCGGUGAAAUGCGCAGAUAUCGGGAGGAACACCUAUGGCGAAGGCAGCUCGCUGGGACGUUACUGACGCUGAGACGCGAAAGCGUGGGGAGCAAACAGG
rnacentral:rRNA from 1 species